GACGAACGCUGGCGGCGUGCCUAAUACAUGCAAGUAGAACGCUGAAGAGAGGAGCUUGCUCUUCUUGGAUGAGUUGCGAACGGGUGAGUAACGCGUAGGUAACCUGCCUUGUAGCGGGGGAUAACUAUUGGAAACGAUAGCUAAUACCGCAUAACAAUGGAUGACACAUGUCAUUUAUUUGAAAGGGGCAAUUGCUCCACUACAAGAUGGACCUGCGUUGUAUUAGCUAGUAGGUGAGGUAACGGCUCACCUAGGCGACGAUACAUAGCCGACCUGAGAGGGUGAUCGGCCACACUGGGACUGAGACACGGCCCAGACUCCUACGGGAGGCAGCAGUAGGGAAUCUUCGGCAAUGGGGGCAACCCUGACCGAGCAACGCCGCGUGAGUGAAGAAGGUUUUCGGAUCGUAAAGCUCUGUUGUAAGUCAAGGACGAGUGUGAGAGUGGAAAAUUCACACUGUGACGGUAGCUUACCAGAAAGGGACGGCUAACUACGUGCCAGCAGCCGCGGUAAUACGUAGGUCCCGAGCGUUGUCCGGAUUUAUUGGGCGUAAAGCGAGCGCAGGCGGUUUGAUAAGUCUGAAGUUAAAGGCUGUGGCUCAACCAUAGUUCGCUUUGGAAACUGUCAAACUUGAGUGCAGAAGGGGAGAGUGGAAUUCCAUGUGUAGCGGUGAAAUGCGUAGAUAUAUGGAGGAACACCGGUGGCGAAAGCGGCUCUCUGGUCUGUAACUGACGCUGAGGCUCGAAAGCGUGGGGAGCGAACAGGAUUAGAUACCCUGGUAGUCCACGCCGUAAACGAUGAGUGCUAGGUGUUGGAUCCUUUCCGGGAUUCAGUGCCGCAGCUAACGCAUUAAGCACUCCGCCUGGGGAGUACGACCGCAAGGUUGAAACUCAAAGGAAUUGACGGGGGCCCGCACAAGCGGUGGAGCAUGUGGUUUAAUUCGAAGCAACGCGAAGAACCUUACCAGGUCUUGACAUCCCGAUGCUAUUUCUAGAGAUAGAAAGUUACUUCGGUACAUCGGUGACAGGUGGUGCAUGGUUGUCGUCAGCUCGUGUCGUGAGAUGUUGGGUUAAGUCCCGCAACGAGCGCAACCCCUAUUGUUAGUUGCCAUCAUUCAGUUGGGCACUCUAGCGAGACUGCCGGUAAUAAACCGGAGGAAGGUGGGGAUGACGUCAAAUCAUCAUGCCCCUUAUGACCUGGGCUACACACGUGCUACAAUGGUUGGUACAACGAGUUGCGAGUCGGUGACGGCAAGCUAAUCUCUUAAAGCCAAUCUCAGUUCGGAUUGUAGGCUGCAACUCGCCUACAUGAAGUCGGAAUCGCUAGUAAUCGCGGAUCAGCACGCCGCGGUGAAUACGUUCCCGGGCCU
rnacentral:rRNA from 1 species